CCUACGGGUGGCAGCAGUGGGGAAUAUUGCACAAUGGGGGAAACCCUGAUGCAGCGACGCCGCGUGAAGGAAGAAGUAUUUCGGUAUGUAAACUUCUAUCAGCGGGGACGAAAAUGCCGGUACCUGAAUAAGAAGCCCCGGCUAACUACGUGCCAGCAGCCGCGGUCAUACGUAGGGGGCAAGCAUUAUCCGGAUUUACUGGUGGUAAAGGGAGCGGAGGCGGUGAUGCAAGUCAGAAGUGAAAGCCCGCAGCUCAACUGGGGGACGGCUUUUGAGACUGUAUGACUAGAUUGCAGGAGAGGUAAGUGGAAUUCCUAGUGUAGCGGUGAAAUGCGUAGAUAUUAGGAGGAACACCAGUGGCGAAGGCGGCUUACUGGACUGUAAAUGACGCUGAGGCUCGAAAGCGUGGGGAGCAAACAGGAUUAGAUACCCGAGUAGUC
rnacentral:rRNA from 1 species